rnacentral:rRNA from 1 species
CCUACGGGCGGCAGCAGUGAGGAAUAUUGGUCAAUGGACGAGAGUCUGAACCAGCCAAGUAGCGUGAAGGAUGACUGCCCUAUGGGUUGUAAACUUCUUUUAUAUGGGAAUAAAACGUUCCACGUGUGGGAUUUUGUAUGUACCAUAUGAAUAAGGAUCGGCUAACUCCGUGCCAGCAGCCGCGGUAAUACGGAGGAUCCGAGUGUUAUCCGGAUUUAUUGGGUUUAAAGGGAGCGUAGGUGGAUUGUUAAGUCAGUUGUGAAAGUUUGCGGCUCAACCGUAAAAUUGCAGUUGAAACUGGCAGUCUUGAGUACAGUAGAGGUGGGCGGAAUUCGUGGUGUAGCGGUGAAAUGCUUAGAUAUCACGAAGAACUCCGAUUGCGAAGGCAGUUCACUGGACUGCAACUGACACUGAGGCUCGAAAGUGUGGGUAUCAAACAGGAUUAGAUACCCUAGUAGUC